CUCAAGUCACAUUCUCUAAAUUAAGCACGUUACUCAUGCUUACCAUAUAGGUACCUGUACCACUCACAACAUGAUUAUUCUUUCUUUAUCAAAAUUGAUCUAUAACUCUCAUCAUUGAAACGUUUGGAAUACUACUGGAUAUUCUAUGAACCUUCAACAUGGGAUAUAUUGUCGAUGCCAUGUCCUAGACAUGGUCUUAC
rnacentral:lncRNA from 1 species